GGCCUGAUGGUCUAGUAGUAUGAUUCCUUGUUAGGGCUUUCAGCUGUUUCGAGGAGGUCCCGGGUUCAAUUCCCGGUCAGGCCC